UUUUCCACGUGUACAACCAUGCAUAGGGCUUUAUUAUGCAUCACGCCAUCUUCACCUCCACCACCAUUCUAGACUUACACUUAUAUUAUGUUGCAGAGCUCAGAGGUCCCCAACAGCUCUUGGUGUGAGAUAGAGGGGCUCAAGCACAGCAUCGGCUUGCUGAGGCGGAACGACCUGCAUUUGUCAACCCUCAUCACAGACAGACAUCGCCAGGUUGCCAAAUGGGUGAGAGAAGAGCUGUGCCCUGAAGGGACACAGCAUUAUUUUGAUGUCUGGCACAUUGGGAAAAGUCUGGGGAAGGCCUUGGAUACAGCCUCAAAAGACAGACAGUGUGAACAACUACAGUUGUGGAGGCCAGCCAUAGUGAACCACCUGUACUGGACUGCAGCCUCAACCCCUGAUGGCAAUCCAGCUGUGAUGGAGGCCAAAUGGAGAAGCUUGGUGAAUCACAUUCAGGACAUC